UUUCAAUUCACGGUUGUAACACCUUUUCUCUCUCUUUCCCUCUUUUCUCGCCGAAAAGUCAUUCAUUUUACCUGAUUUAGCUAGAGAAAGCAAAGUAGCUACAGAUGCGGCGACAUCAACAUCUCAGCUCGACUCGAGAUCUGAUAGUUGAGAUCAACAUUUUCAACAUCAGCAGCAGCUGCGGCGGUAACAGCGGUGGCGACAGCGACAGCGACAGCGGCAGCAGCAGCGGCAACAGUAGCAGUGCAACUUGAACAUCAGCAAUAGCUGCGGGGACAACAGCGCCGCUGGUUGAACUGUUGCUGUUAUUUCUUGGGUUUUAAGAUUAGAUAGUUCUAUCUAGGCCUUAAAUAAUAUGUUGUUCUUGUGGUUUCAAUUUGGGAAUUUGAAUUGUUUAAAUUCCACCAUGGAUUUAUGAAGGAGAGGCUGGCCCUUUUUGUUUUUC